rnacentral:misc_RNA from 1 species
CGGAAGGAUCAUUACCGAGUGCGGGCGUCCAGCCCAACCUCCCACCCGUGUUGACCUGUGACCGUGUUGCUUCGGCGGGCCCAUCCGGGCCUGUCCUGGAUCGCUGGGGGGCCCCGUGCCCCCGGGCGUGUGCCCGCCGGAGAGCCCCUGAACCCUGCAUGAAUUGGGCGUCUGAGUAAGGAUUGAAUCGUUAAAACUUUCAACAACGGAUCUCUUGGUUCCGGCAUCGAUGAAGAACGCAGCGAAAUGCGAUACGUAAUGUGAAUUGCAGAAUUCCGUGAAUCAUCGAAUCUUUGAACGCACAUUGCGCCCCCUGGUAUUCCGGGGGGCAUGCCUGUCCGAGCGUCAUGUCUCCCUUCAAGCGCGGCUUGUGUGUUGGGUGCUGUCCCCCCGGGGACAUGCCCGAAAGGCAGUGGCGGCGUCGCGUCGGGUCCUCGAGCGUAUGGGGCUUUGUCACCCGCUCGGGAGGGACCUGCGGGCGCUGGUCUUCCUUGCGCAACCCCCCCUGCGGGGUUGUCUCUCUGGUUGA